rnacentral:misc_RNA from 1 species
GAUGAAGAACGUAGCGAAAUGCGAUAAGUAAUGUGAAUUGCAGAAUUCAGUGAAUCAUCGAAUCUUUGAACGCACAUUGCGCCCGCCAGUAUUCUGGCGGGCAUGCCUGUUCGAGCGUCAUUUCAACCAUCAAGCCCCAGGCUUGUGUUGGAGCCCUGCGGCUGCCGCAGCCUCCCAAAACCAGUGGCGGGCUCGCUAUCACACCGAGUGCAGUAGUUUACUCUUCGCUCAGGGCGUGUGGCGGGUGCUAGCCGUAAAACCCCCAACUUCUCAAGGUUGACCUCGGAUCAGGUAGGAAGACCCGCUGAACUUAAGCAUAUCAAUAAGCGGAGGA